CAAACUAAAAACUCUUGAUUUCUGUUGGUCCAACACUUGGAAAGGAUCUCCUUCAGGUUGCUCCAGCCAUACGAAGUCAUCCAACCUCUACAAAUCAUCAACACAAAGACCGGCACAAAUCAAGCUCCUUGGAAGUGCUAGCUUGCAAGGAUCUUGGAGGCUGAUUUCUCCCUUCUUCUUCACAAGCCUUAGACACUCUAAAUGAAGAGAGGAUUUGGAGGAGGAGAAGAGAAGGAGCUAUGGAGAAAAUUAAAAAACCAGCAAAGGAACUCAACAUGAGGUGUCCA
rnacentral:lncRNA from 1 species